UUGGAGCAAAAGCAACAAAAAUUUGUCGCUUCCUCACCUAAAAACAACGGAGGGAUAAACCCUGAGUAUGGAAUUACUCAGCAAGUCUUACCCGACUAAGGAAAAGACUCUCAAGGGUAUGCUGGAUAAAUAGGAAUCAAGGAGAGGCUUUAGCAAGAAUCAACUUAGAUACUUUUGCAGAAAUAGCUUACUGAAGUGAGUCCUUACUUUCAACAUUUUAACGCCAGAUUAAAUAUUAAUAGACUCUGUUUGCCUCUAGUCUAAUUUCAUCAUCUCAUCAAUACAACAUCAUUUUUAUUCACGAAGUUCACAUCCUGACUUAGGUUGUAGGGCAGUGAUCAAGUCUCCACUCUCCGGGGAUAUAACGGCGAUCCAAAUCGAUUUACUCAGCUGAGGAUCUCUAACCACACGACAUAUGUAGCACUUAAUCCUUGCAUAUGUCAACUCGACCCCAGGGUUCUUAAGACCAGAUCAGGUUCACGUAAACCGAGAGCACAGAUACACCACCGUCCAGCCUCUUGCCACGAAGGGUACACGCUACUCCCGCCACCGCUCCACGCCCAUUUCGUGUUAUCUUAUUCUGGCCUUAGUCUGCCAGGCAAAGCUUACCCUGUCCCAUUUCCAGGGUAUGCGACUAGCUAAGAUAGUCCUUGCUCUAUCAAGCCUACAUACGCAUUCAAUCCUUAAUCAACCUGGGUAGAACAUCACCUGUUCCUAGCCCAAGUCUCGAUUUAAGUAUUUCCAUCCUUAGGAUUGUUUCUGUUCCUUAGGAUGAAAAGAGCAUCACAGAGAACUUUGCAGUAAGAUCCCACCAUGCUCCCAAUGAAAAUAUAUUCUUGCAGGUAGAAGUCAUCUUUCCUCAGGAUAACCCCUGAGCAAGGCCUUAACGCAAAAGACAACUUCCAUCCACAAGAUCUAAGUAGGGCUAAGCAUUUUUGUAAAUCAAAUUUUGAUACUUCCAAAGAAGUAUCUAUAACAGGUAUGGAUAUCAAGGAAGGCAAUGCAUCAAAGGGUUUCAAGCAACUCCUAUAAACUUAAUGCACAUUUCACUAGACUUAAAGUGUGCGAAAAGUAUUUAAAAACACAAGGAAGGGGUUGUAUGCACCGGGGCUUGCCUUUGUUUAUAGAUGAGUUAGUCUCAGGCCCGCAGAUGUUAAAGUAGAGACGAGACCCUGCCUGAGACUCCAAAGGUGGUGUUGUCUUCUCUUCAGGUACUUCCACUUCUUCUUCGCGUUCUAAAUAUAACCAUAUAGGUAUAUAUAUAAGAAUGAAUGCCAUGUAAUGCAAACUCUUACAAGGAGAGGUGGAGAACAGAAACACUACAACUAAAGCACAUGACAAGAAUAUACCUAUUUCUCAUUGCUCGAUUAAAGUGACCAAUUUGAAAUCACUUAGGUAAAUCAGGGAAUUAAUCCAACCAAGGUAUCAAUCAAAAGCUUGAAAACUCCUUAAGUAACUUCAUCCAAGGGUCAAAAUCUCACUAGAUCAACAUGCCUCUGCCCCAAAAGCACUUAGUUCCAUAAGUAAGGAUUUAAUAACUAUUUUUGGACCUUACAAGACUUUCAGGUCAAAAGGCUUCCAAACAGCCCCAAAAAUUUACCAAGUGUUCCACUUCUGAUAAAAAGUAUCUUCCAGAAUUUCCAGAAUUUUUGGUGUUAUACUUUUAUUUCUAAAAUCCAAACAGUCCUUACAAAGGCACCUUUAAAUCACUUAAUAAUUUCUAACUGUCCUAAAAAUCCGAAAACCAACUUUACUAGAGAGCUUUGAUUUUAUACAUCCAAUAAAAUUUGUGCCAUGAUUUUUGGAAUUUUCUACAAAUUUUGGCACCAUUUCUAAUCUCUCAGCUAAUAGAAAAGGCAAAACUCAGAACAGUAUCGGGCCUAAACUCACUCAGCCGGCCCAACCGCAGACAGACCUGGCCCGUGACCGAGGCCCCACGCCUGCACCGACGCUUUUGCGCAGAGACCCUCUAUGCCUGAACAAAACUAACCCGGGUCCAUGUCACAGCAUUAAGGCCCCUCGGUUUCAUCUCUUUUGCAAACUCCCAUCCACGACAUUGCCGUGCUCAGCCCCAGUAAACCGGCACCAGACCAGCCAUGACAGUGUGACCUAGUCAACGGCGACGGCAACAUCGCGACCACCAAGCAACGGUGGACUCAGACCUGUUUUCAAUCGACAGUGGGGAUGCUAAGACAUAACUACCGACGGCGGCGGUGGCAAACUCAGUCCGGUGGGCUCAAUUCUAUGGCCACCGCAUGGUAGAGCUUCAAACUCCGACGCAGGGAGCAAUAGGGACCUACCACGACUACAGUGCUUGCAUGAAACCGGCCAAGAACGACACAAUUUAACCGGUCGGCGGUGAGACUGUCUAUGGUGACGGUCUGUGGCGGUGCGGCCCUGUUUUGGUUAACACAAGAUAGUAGACUGAAAUUACCAACGGGAAAACCUUUACUGACCUUAGGAGAACGUGGAACGCGGGUCAUACGAACUGGUCACUCCCUGAGAUGUCUUGGUCACAACGAGGUGAGGAACCGGUGAGCGUGGUCACCAGACUUAGCACGCGCAGCACAUGACAGUGCUAACCUGGGCUGGGGAGAGGAUUAACACCAGCAGUGGCUACAUGUCGCAGGUAGCCGUGUGGCUGCAGGGAUUCGAGCCCAGGUCACUACGAUGAACUUGGCUAGCAACCAUGGAGACCAUGAGCACUCUUAU
rnacentral:lncRNA from 1 species